rnacentral:rRNA from 1 species
UACAGAGGUCCCAAGCGUUGUCCGGAUUCACUGGGCGUAAAGGGCGCGUAGGCGGCCGGGUCAGUCGGGCCUGUAAGUGCGGGGCUCAACCCCGUGAUGGGCUCGGGACGGCCCGGCUGGGGCGCGGUCGAGGGAGACGGAAUGCCGGGUGUAGUGGUGAAAUGCGUAGAGAUCGGCAGGAACACCCAGGGGGAAACCAGCCGACUGGGCAUCUACUGACGCUGAGGUGCGAGAGCGUGGGGAGCGAACCGG